AGGAAGCAAACUGUUGUGAAAGCCAUAACAACUCAUUGGCAACAAUUUGUUUUAGCAGAAAAUAUCAGGUGCGUGUUGGCCAUCCUGUCAUCGAUCAGAGGCAGCGAUGAUUCAUAUGCUCCUUGAGGAUGGAGAAACGAAGGUUUUAGAAGGAUGGGGCUGAUGUGUUGAUGUGGAUUUUGUGGGGAAGGCUUACUCCAGACUCCGGUACUGGAGUCCUGUGGCUAUGCUGAAGCCUUCUAGCAAUUUCUGCUGUUUCUUCAACUAACCCAGAACACUGUGUACCCAGUUAGGAUGUCUCCAGCGUCACAGAGAAGCCCAAGCGCUCGGCAUGGCUCUAGUCCCAGAAUCACCUGAAGCUGGCUGCAACCCAUGUCGCCAUUCUUCCCAAGGUGGCCUCUCCAUGACUCUCUCCAUCAGCAUCCUCAUCUCCACUCCCUCCCUGCACCCUGCUGCUAAUGCUCUGUCUGUGUUACUUUCUGGGCUGUCUCUCGUGGGGCCCCUACACCUUUCCCACACAUUAGUAAGUAACCCCUCCUGGACCUGGGGCAGGCCACCCUGACUGAAACACUUCCCAGCUUCUCCAGGACACUGGCGAAACUCUUUGGGAGUCAGGACCCACUUUUUUCUUGCCUGUCAUUCUCUCUUAUAAAAGCUCCAUGCUCAGGGGGAAAAGGUUCAGUAAAGGCUGGGAGAAGCUCUGGCAUUACAAAAUAGGAAUAUAAAAUAUGUGAUCGCAGGAAGCCUUCCCUGAAAGUACUUUCUUUCCAUCCAAGAUGAAACGCUGAGGGUUGAACGCUGAGGGCUGAACGCUGCUCUGUCUCUGCUGGUCCCCUGUCUGUGUAGCCCACCUGUGGUUGGGUUCCUGGGCUGGUCCUCCUGGGAAAAACCCGGGUCUCCACCGUUCCCUCUUGAGUUUGCCGCAGGAAAUCCGCGCACGUGUGCUGUUAUGGGAAGUGUUUCAGGGCGUCUGGAAAAGCCACCGCAGCCCCCGGGGCAGCUAGCUUUCGAUCCGUGAAACGGACACGUGCCAUGUCUCUACUCAGGACCUACCCACCUCGCCCCGGCUGCUGAAGUGCUGAGCUACCCGCCUCCGAGCUCCUGCUGCUGCUCUGCCCUGCCCUCUAGUGGCCUAAGGAUGUCAGAACAGCGGCCUCUCCGCCUUCCUGCUGCUGGAGGCUGCCAAACAUGAGCCUUCAGCCCUGGCAAUUUCUAGUAAUAGAGUUCUUGCUUGAUGCAGCUUUCUUGCCAGAAGAGGAUCGACUUUAAGAGAUAGCAGCUGUCUUGGACCCUAGUUUGAGUCAAAGUGCCCAAGAAAUGUAGGCCAUCCUGAUGCAUACAAUAUGUCACUUUGGAGUAACUACUCUGGGAUCCUUUGAUGUGAGCCUACAAUUCAGCAUGCUGGAGGAAGGAUGGCAAGGUGUAAGAGAUGCAACCAUCCAUCCAUCCAUCCAUCCA